rnacentral:rRNA from 1 species
GAUGAACGCUAGCGGGAGGCCUAAUACAUGCAAGUCGAACGGUAACAGGGGACUUCGGUCCUGCUGACGAGUGGCGCACGGGUGAGUAACGCGUACACGACUUACCUCUGACUGGGAGAUAGCCCUGGGAAACUGGGAGUAAUACCCCAUGGUCCUUGGAUUUUCGGAUUUAAAGUAAAGCUUUCGGGCGGUCAGAGAUGGGUGUGCGUCCCAUUAGCUAGUUGGUGAGGUAACGGCUCACCAAGGCUACGAUGGGUAGGGGCGUGAGAGCGUGGCCCCCCAACGGGUACUGAGACACGGACCCGACUCCUACGGGAGCAGCAGUAAGGAAUAUUGGACAAUGGCGCAAGCCUGAUCCAGCCAUCCCGGUGCA